UCGUGGAAGAAGAUGGCACUACCUACAGAAAGGGAUGCAAGAGACCCACGGGAAGUGAGAUUGGAGGCACUCCACCCAACAUAAGCGCGUGUUCCUCGAUUCAGCCAAGUCCACAAUCUUCGUCAUUCCCGAGUCUAGUGCCUUCCUACCACGCUAGUCCAACCUCUUCCUCCUUCCCCA
rnacentral:sRNA from 1 species